UCUCUUGUGCUCGGGCAUGUGCUGUCGCCAGUGAGGUUUCUACCGAGGCACAGCCUAUUUGCUGAUUGCAAAUUACACAUCCGAACCCGUCUCUUAGCUUCGGCUAUGAGCAAUUUUUGGAAAAAUUUCACUU
rnacentral:snRNA from 1 species